rnacentral:rRNA from 1 species
GACGAACGCUGGCGGCGUGCCUAAUACAUGCAAGUCGAGCGAGUCUGCCUUGAAGAUCGGAGUGCUUGCACCCUGUGAAACAAGAUACAGGCUAGCGGCGGACGGGUGAGUAACACGUGGGUAACCUGCCCAAGAGAUCGGGAUAACACCUGGAAACAGAUGCUAAUACCGGAUAACAACAGAUGAUGCCUAUCAACUGUUUAAAAGAUGGUUCUGCUAUCACUCUUGGAUGGACCUGCGGUGCAUUAGCUAGUUGGUAGGGUAACGGCCUACCAAGGCGAUGAUGCAUAGCCGAGUUGAGAGACUGAGCGGCCACAUUGGGACUGAGACACGGCCCAAACUCCUACGGGAGGCAGCAGUAGGGAAUCUUCCACAAUGGACGCAAGUCUGAUGGAGCAACGCCGCGUGAGUGAAGAAGGGUUUCGGCUCGUAAAGCUCUGUUGUUGGUGAAGAAGGACAGGGGUAGUAACUGACCUUUGUUUGACGGUAAUCAAUUAGAAAGUCACGGCUAACUACGU